UAACAGUUCCUUUUUUCCAGGAACUGUCACUUUAAAAAUGUGAAAACCACUCUUAGAUGUAGACCAGGUGAAAACAGGCUGCCAGCCAGACUUGGCUCUCAGGCAUGUAGUUUGCCAGACCCUCUUUUGGAGGAUUGUUAAAUUAACAGUGGGCCAUCCCAUAGAACACACCCACUCCCCCAAUCUGCCUCAUCCAGGCAUUAAAUACAAAUAAUUACUUGACAUGCAAUGGGUUUUCACCAUGCCCCAUCACCAUACCAUGUGCUUCAUAUGCACCACCCUGCAUAAUCUUUGCAAAACCUUCUCAAGUAGGUACAAUUGCAGUCCCCUUUUGUGGAAAAGAAAGCUGGCAUGUACAAAGGUAAUAAAAUGGGCUCAGGGCCACCUAGCUAGAAAAAAGGCAAAGCUCGGUGCCAACACAGGUGUGGUAUCUUUAACUCCAAUGCCAGACCUUUUAAUGUGGUAUGUCCCCUUCUAAACUCCCAUGAUUUGAAUAGCUAAUUGCCUCAACUCCCUGACUUUCUUUUGCUAUGCAGACUCACCCCAAAUAUGGCUAAGUUGCUGGGGUUUUUGUUUUUGUUGUCAAAUUAACAGCUGCACAACCUUAAAAUGACUUCAAUUUGAAAACACAGUUCUUUAUUUCUUUAAACAAGCAAGAAUUUGAUACAUAACGUAUUCACUCAGUUACUAAAUUCAGAGAGCAGCAAGUGAUAAAAGUCCCAAAAUGCUCUGUAAUUCUUGCCAAAACAUCUUGGGUGCAUAGCUAGAUUUAUAGAAAAUUUAAGAUAUUUAUGAGCAUUAUUUGUAGAAAAACAUUGCCCUCAGCAGGUUAUAAAAUGUUAUCAGUACUCCUGAUUCUAAUAAGGUUCUUGGAAGGACUGGAUCCUUCAGAGCUGAGCAGCUAUGCUUGGCACAAAGCCAAAUCAAAGCAGCUUUGAUUCAGAAAGGAACUGGAUGCAAUUAUUUCUCAGCUUUUUUCUGAUCUCUACCAAGGAAAGGAGCUGCUCUGUGAGUCAUGGCCAAAAUGUGGCUAUCUAGAGCCACCACUGAGCUAAUUGUACAUCACCACUGGAAAGCUUCUGUAGAAAAUGGCAUACCCAAGCCAAGCAUGAAAAGAGAGCUAUACUCAAGGGUGGUACAGUUAAGAAGGUCUUAAGAUCUAUGUUUUGUCAAGAAUCUAUCUAGUGUGUUCCGUGCUUUACUUAGAUUCUUUGUUACAAAGUAGCAGAAACCAACUCAAGCUGUCUUGGAAAAAAAAAAAAUGGGGAGGUGAGAAUUUCUGAGGGGUACAUAAGUCUCUCAUGGACCCUCUAGCAGAAGUGUAGUUGGGUCUGAAGAAGGAACUGGAAGAAGAGACAGGGAAGGACAUUAGGCCUCUCUUUCCACCUCCCAUGUGCACUUUACAUAACCUUCAUGCUUCUUUCUCUUCUUUGCUUCCCAAUCUACACGGUAGAAAAUAUGUCUGUCCUGCAGCUCCCAAGUGUACACGUUAAAGGUCCAGCUCUCUGAACACCCUCAAUUUUCAUUUCUCGGGAGAAAGAGCCAAAUUUUCCCAUUAAAUUGAGUUUCUACCUUUAAUCCAGUCAACCAAGACCAGGAGGCCUAGGGUCACAGAGGACAAAAAUCACAGCCUGGAAAGCAAUAUUUACAAAUCAUGGGACCAAACAGAGAGAAGGCCAAUUCUCAUAGAAAGAGAUGGCUGUUCCCUCCUCAUCUAGAGAAACAAUUCCAAAAGUUCUAUGUACUAGCCACCUCCAACAUUACUUCACAAUCUACUAUGUGCCAGGGUCUCAGAAUGUAGAGUAACACUGAAAAUUAUUUCACCUCCUGUUGUGGACUAAAUGUGUGUGUCUCCCCAUCACCUCAUUCGGUACGUCCUGCCUAGUCCACCUCCUAAACAUGUCUUGAAUCCAUCAUUUCUCUCCAAUCCCACUGCCCCCUCAUAAUCCAAAGUACCACACUCUCUCCACCUGGAUUUCGAAAGCCUUCUAGCCCUCUCUCCCAUCUUUCCCCAUUGCUACUCUUGCCCCCUCCAAUCCUCCCGCCACUCUGCAGUCAGGGGGAACAUUCUAAAACACACACCUGAUCCCAUCACCACCUUGCUUAAAGUUUUUCAGAGACUCCCGUAACGAACCAAACUAUUAAUAUCUAUGAGGAUUUGGGUUCGAUCCCUGGCCUCACUCAGUGGGUUAAGGAUCCGGCGUUGCCAUGAGCUGUGGUGUAGGCCAGCAGCUGUAGCUCCAAUUGGACCCUUUGCCUGGGAACAUCCAUAUGCCGUGGGUGCAGCCCUAAAAAGGACAAAAAUAAAAAUUAAAAUUAAUAAAUAAAAAAAAAUGAAGACCAAAUUUCUUCCUACAGCUUAAAGAGGCCUUCCAGAAGCAGACCUCUGCAAGCUGCCACCAUUCACUCUCCGUCUCCUUCUCUUACUCUCCAGACAUACAGCUGCAUGCAGAUCCUAGAUCAUGCCCUGCCAUCUCACACCUCCAGCACUUGUACCUGCUGCUACCUCUGCCUUAAACACUUCUGCUUUUCCCACUCAUGUAUUUUUCGAUUUUCUGCUUAAAUGUCUUUGAAAACCAGAAAACCUCUCAAACUUACACCUGAGUUAGAUGACCCACCCUGUGCACCCAUGGGACCCCACGCUUCCCCCACCAUAUGUAAUAGGUUUGCCAUUUAUUUAUUGUUUUCCUUCAAUGGGCAAAAUAUACCAUGAAGGCAGGAACUCUAGCUCUUUUUUUUUUUUUUAGGGCCACACCCGUGGCAAAUGGACAUUCCCAGGCGAGGGGUCGAAUCAGAGCUAUGGCUGCUGGCCCACACCACAGCCAUAGCAAGUGGGAUCCAAGCCAUGUCUGUAAACUACAUCACAGCUCAUGGCAACACUGGAUCCUUAACCCAUUAAGCAGGCCAGGGAAUGAACCAGAAAUCUCAUGGUUACCAGUCAGGUUCAUUUCUGUUGUGCCACAAUGGGAACUCCUGAACAGCUAUUAAUGGCAUAAGUAGCCCAAAAUCAAUCUGUGUAUUUCUACUUCCCUUGGGCAGAAAUCUUUACAGUCUUUUACCACCCUCCCACAUACCAAAACUCCCUAUAUCUCACUGACUUCUGGGUAGUGAUCCACACACACACUGGUCAUAUGGGCCUUGUCCAGCACAAAGUUCAACCAGGGUCAGCUCAUAAUGAGCCCACAGUUAGAGGAGAGCUGAUGGGAAACAUUUGAUCUACCCUACGCUUCUUUCCUGAGCAUCCCCGGCCGCCCCUAGCCCCAGGGCCAGAUGGUCUGGCAGCAUCUUAGGUAGCCCUGAAUGGCAAACAGUACUGCUCCUGCAAACACAAAAUAUCUCUGACUUUGUAAACAUUCCCUAAGAGCUUUUAAAAUCCCAUCAAUAUAUCAGAAAUGAAUUUGGGGGGGGGGCAUCAUUUGUACAAUCAAUUAGGCUUAAGAGCUAAUCAACAACAACAAAAGACCUUUAAUGUCAGCCAGUUCAGCUCUUAACAUUUUCCAAUUAAGGAAACCAAGACACAGGCAAAAGAUGUCUCUCCCUGGCCACAAGCCUUCAAAAUAAACCAGGAGGCCCAAGACUAGAAUUCAUGACUCCUUACUCAUUCAACUACAAUGGGACUUCCCCAAAAAGGAAACAUGUCAACAGGAACCUAAGGCCCAAGGCCACUCCGUUCCUCCCCCAUCCACCCACUCCCACAUGGAGCACACUCUCUCCCUGCUGUCUUCCUGGCCAACCAACACAGCUCUCCUUGUCCCUCCACUUUGCAAGCAGGUUAGUUCUUAAAUCAUUUUCUGAUUGACAGAAACAUUUUUCUGAAAAGUAAUACAAUUAAGGUACACCCUGGAUACCAAUUUAAGGCUGAUGCUACCAAAUCAACCUUUCUGAACAAACUGACAAGUAACUUCAGGAAAAUCAUCAGUUAAUCUUAUUUUUUAACUGAUUUUUCAAAGAUAGAAUGGGCUGCCUCUUUCACCAAAUUUCUUCUUUUGUUUUCAUAUCAUAUUGGCUCACUGUCAAUAAAAGCAAAGCAUUUCAUUUCUCAAAUUCUCACCUUAAAUUGGCUCAUCAUAUGCUCCAGUGGGUAAUAUUUCCACUUUCUGAGAUUUUUGAGUUUAAAUGGCUGUAUCACUUUGGGAUUUUUGUUUUCUUGAGAACUGAAGAAUAAAUUGGAUUGACCAUAACAGAUUAAGUACUUCUAGAAUUUGCUCGAGUUUAUACACAGUACUUGGCAGCUAAUCUUGAUGAAUGUAGUUGUGAACAUAAAUACGUACAAACAUCUGCCCACACAUAUAAGCAACUAAUUUUUCCCAAGAACUAAAUAUGGAAUAUGAAUAAUCAUUUAUGUGUUCACUCAAAGAAUAUUUUACCAAGCAACAACUAUGUAUCCAGUGGCCCUGUGCUAGUGAUAAAAACGAAAAGAUGAACACAACAGAAGCCCUGCCUGUCUUCAAGGAGCUUACUGUCUAGAGCAGAAAAGAUGAUCAAAUAAACAGAUGCAGGAGGUAGGGCACAGAAGACUGACCGCUCCGUGUCUAAGGAGAAGACUGUAUUGCACAUCCGUGCAAGUGGGAGACGGGGAAUCAUUCAUUCUAAAGUACUGGCUCAUGGUGGGAGACACCAGGUCCAGAGACACUACUCAGAGGUCCAGCAUG
rnacentral:lncRNA from 1 species